GUGCAGACUCGUUCACUAGCUCUCUGCUCUCUGCAUGAUGUGGCAGAAGUGAAGCGAACCAGGUUUGCUGAAGUAAUUGUGGGGAUAGAAAUGUAUCAGCCUCAGAAGCUACUGAGGUGGCCCAUUCUAUCCUAGGACACUG